rnacentral:rRNA from 1 species
UACGGGGGGGGCAAGCGUUGUUCGGAAUUACUGGGCGUAAAGGGCGCGUAGGCGGCCUAUUAAGUCGGACGUGAAAUCCCUCGGCUCAACCGGGGAACUGCGUCCGAUACUGGCAGGCUUGAAUCCGGGAGAGGGAUGUGGAAUUCCAGGUGUAGCGGUGAAAUGCGUAGAUAUCUGGAGGAACACCGGUGGCGAAGGCGGCAUUCUGGACCGGUAUUGACGCUGAGGCGCGAAAGCUAGGGGAGCAAACGGG